AUUGUAGUAUUGAAGGAUGACUGACUGAGUUCUGAUGUUUUGCCUACAAGACAUUUUUUUAUAUAAUCAUAUACUAAACUUUCCUAACAUCUCGAAAUGAAAUACCCACGUAAUUCAACAAUUUGCAACUGAUCAAUAUCACGAAGAUACAUUGAACUUUGCAAUCUAUGCAUUAUCCAGAGAUGGUCGAUAAGCAGCUUAUAAAAACUUAAAUUACGCAGAACAUUGAGAAUUAUCAACCGAAUCUCAUUUAACAU